AGCGAACGCUGGCGGCGUGCCUAACACAUGCAAGUCGAACGGGAAUAGAUUCGUCUUAGUACCGUGGCGAACGGGUGAGUAACGCGUGGGUAAUCUGGCCUUUGGUGGGGAUAACCAUUCGAAAGGAUGGCUAAAACCGACAUAAGACCCAAUAAUCGGGAGAUUUAUGGGUGAAAGGGUGCUUAGGCACCUGCCGAAGGAUGAGCCCGCGUCCCAUUAGCUAGUUGGUGGGGUAAUGGCCUACCAAGGCUGAGAUGGGUAGCUGGUCUGAGAGGAUGAUCAGCCACACUGGGACUGAGACACGGCCCAGACUCCUACGGGAGGCAGCAGUGGGGAAUAUUGCGC
rnacentral:rRNA from 1 species